AAGGGAGCUGAUGCGACAACUUCGAUCUUGCAAUAGUGAAUUUAUUGUCACAAGAUCUUCAAUACAAUUUUCCUUAGAUGAAUGUACGUUGCCUCAUACAAAAGCGUAUAAAUAGCCGUGAAAAACUAGAGAAAACAGCAGAUUCUUUCGAUCUUUUAAUUAGUACCGUUCAACAUGUUCAAAGUGUUCUUAGUGGCCUGUGCUGUUUUGGCUUGUACUUUUGCAGCCCCAGGAUAUCUUCAUAGUUAUCCAGCCCCUUUGAUCUACCACCCGCCAAUAAAAGUGAUUGCUCCAGCCCCAGCAAUAGUGCCGAUUUACACCAAAACAAUUCUCACGCAUCCAUAUCCGCUCCAUCCAUGGUGGCUCUAAAAAUUCUCAUCAGAAGACCUGCUGUUGAGCUAUUGGAUAAAGUAACUGCUGCUCUAAAAAACAUGCAAUUUUGUACACUUUUUUAGCGAUGUUAAAAACUGUAACUUUAACUAUAAUUUGUUAAUCAAAUAAUUGCAAUGGAAAAUGCCUUCACUGCUUUUGUUGUUAAUUUGUUUAAAAUGUGCAGAAUGAACAAUAAAUAAUAUGCAAAAAUA
rnacentral:lncRNA from 1 species